CUAAGGAGACUGCCGGUGACAAACCGGAGGAAGGUGGGGAUGACGUCCAAGUCAUCAUGGCCCUUACGGCCUGGGCUACACACGUGCUACAAUGGUCGGUACAAAGGGUUGCCAAGCCGCGAGGUGGAGCUAAUCCCAUAAAACCGAUCGUAGUCCGGAUCGCAGUCUGCAACUCGACUGCGUGAAGUCGGAAUCGCUAGUAAUCGUGAAUCAGAAUGUCACGGUGAAUUACCGGUUCCCGGGCCUU
rnacentral:rRNA from 1 species